rnacentral:rRNA from 1 species
UACGUAGGGUGCAAGCGUUAAUCGGAAUACUGGGCGUAAAGCGUGCGCAGGCGGUUAUAUAAGACAGUUGUGAAAUCCCCGGGCUCAACCUGGGAACUGCAUCUGUGACUGUAUAGCUAGAGUACGGUAGAGGGAGAUGGAAUUCCGCGUGUAGCAGUGAAAUGCGUAGAUAUGCGGAGGAACACCGAUGGCGAAGGCAAUCCCCUGGACCUGUACUGACGCUCAUGCACGAAAGCGUGGGGAGCAAACAGG